UUCACAUCUAUUCCUCCUUUUAAGGGUAUUGGCCUGGUCCCCAUGUGUUUUCUAUCACAAUGUUCAGAACAAACUCAGCUUUCUGUAUAGUGACACCCAAAAUUGUUCCAGAGCAAUAAAGGUCAUUUCUUCU